CACAGGCCCCAGAGCUGCUAUCGUAUCGGUGACGCUGCAGCGCUGUGGAAAAAGGCUGUCGUGGAAAAACGUUUUCUUUACACUGCGAGGAAGUUUAUUCUUCCGAACAAAAGUGACUAUUUACUACUAACCAGAAAGGAUAUUUUUUCCUGUUGAGGACUUUCCCUUCAAAAGAGAGACAAAUGUGUUGACAGGUUAGUAAAGAACGGUGCGCCUGGCUCGGGGCAGUCAGGAUGGAUGGAUGGCAGAAGCACAAAAUGAAUUCACAAGAACUUCCAGAGAGAUCUCCAGUGAGUCAUCAAAUCUCCAGGGAGAAGGGCCGUCGUAUGGAAAUGUCAAACAGUCCUUCAGGCAUAUUAAUCAGAGCCUAACAUGGUCCUGGACUAUUACACUCCCUUAACGUUCUACACAGUAUUUUGACACCCUUUUGAUCUUAUAAUGCUACCAUGGCUGGUAUUGGGACCAGCCUCCCUGUGGACUGCAGACAGCUGCUCAUCUUAGCCACCUUUAAGGGAUCAGAUGGACACUUUGUAGUGGCCAUAUUCCCCACAGUCACACAGCAAAUACCUGCUGUGGGGGAGUCAUCACAAUACAAUUUACCAGGAAUAACUUUAACUUUUGUCAGCUUUGUGCUGUACGUAAACACUGCCAAUUGCAUUUUAGAUUCGCUUCUUUAGAUUAACAGCAUUUAGGAAACGUAAAAGGUUGUACAGAAAACAGUGAAUGCGGAACAAUCUACAUUUAAUUACCAUCAUGGAUCAGGGUUGUUUGUACUGUAUUAAUCUAUACCAAAUAAAUAUUGCACACUUUUUUUCA